GGAUGUGAGGGCGAUCUGGCUGUGACAUCUGUCACCCCAUUGAUCACCGGGGUUGAUUCGGCUGAUCUGGCUGGCUAGGCGGGUGUCCCCUUCCUCUCUCACUGCUCCAUGUGCGUCCCUCCCGAAGCUGCGUGCUUGGUCGAAGAGGAUGACCUUCCCUGAUAGAGGAGAGGACCGUUCUUCGGUCAAGGGUAUACGAGUAGCUGCGCUCCCCUGCUAGAACCUCCAAACAAGCUCUCAAGGUCCAUAUACACACAUAUAUUUCCAUAUAUAGAGAAAUGGAUUAUCAAGGUCAGCAGUUUCGAUAUCAUUAAGUCAUAUUCACAUAAAUUAAAUUUGU
ensembl:misc_RNA 7SK 7SK RNA